rnacentral:misc_RNA from 1 species
GAUGAAGAACGCAUCGAAAUGCGAUACGUAAUGUGAAUUGCAGAAUUCAGUGAAUCAUCGAAUCUUUGAACGCAUAUUGCGCUCUCUGGUAUUCCGGAGAGCAUGCUUGUUUGAGUAUCAGUAAACACCUCAACUCCCUUUCUUCUUGAAAUGGAGCUGGACUUGAGUGAUCCCAACGCUUUAUUCAUAAAGUGGCGGGUUACUUGAAAUGCAGGUGCAGCUGGACUUUUCUCUGAGCUAUAAGCAUAUCUAUUUAGUCUGCCUCAAAACAGAUUAUUACCUUUGCUGCAGCUAACAUAAAGGAGAUUAGUUCUUGUGCUGACUGAUGCAGGAUUCACAAAGACCGCUUCGGCUGUCUUUGUAAACUCGAUCUCAAAUCAAGUAAGACUACCCGCUGAACUUAAGCAUAUCAAUAAGCGGAGGA